GAUGAACGCUGGCGGCGUGCUUAACACAUGCAAGUCGAACGGAAAGGCCAGUGCUUGCACUGGUACUCGAGUGGCGAACGGGUGAGUAACACGUGGGUGAUCUGCCCUGCACUUCGGGAUAAGCCUGGGAAACUGGGUCUAAUACCGGAUAGGACAAUGGUUUGGAUGCCGUUGUGGAAAGUUUUUUCGGUGUGGGAUGAGCUCGCGGCCUAUCAGCUUGUUGGUGGGGUAAUGGCCUACCAAGGCGUCGACGGGUAGCCGGCCUGAGAGGGUGUACGGCCACAUUGGGACUGAGAUACGGCCCAGACUCCUACGGGAGGCAGCAGUGAGGAAUAUUGCACAAUGGGCGCAAGCCUGAUGCAGCGACGCCGCGUGGGGGAUGACGGCCUUCGGGUUGUAAACUCCUUUCGCUAGGGACGAAGCGUAUUUGUGACGGUACCUGGAGAAGAAGCACCGGCUAACUACGUG
rnacentral:rRNA from 1 species